rnacentral:rRNA from 1 species
CGGGACGGGUGAGUAACGCGUGGGUAACCUGCCUUAUACAGGGGGAGUAACAGUCAGAAAUGGCUGCUAAUACCGCAUAAGCGCACAGAGCUGCAUGGCUCAGUGUGAAAAACUCCGGUGGUAUAAGAUGGACCCGCGUUGGAUUAGCUGGUUGGUGGGGUAACGGCCCACCAAGGCGACGAUCCAUAGCCGGCCUGAGAGGGUGAACGGCCACAUUGGGACUGAGACACGGCCCAGACUCCUACGGGAGGCAGCAUG